rnacentral:lncRNA from 10 species
GUGUCUAGCUCAGGGUUUGUGAAUGCACCAAUCGACAUUCUGUAUCUAGCUACUCUGGUGGGGCCUUGGAGAACCUUUGUGUCCACACUCUGUAUCUAGCUAAUCUGGUGGGGACGUGGAGAACCUUUGUGUCUAGAUCAGGGAUUGUAAACGCACCAAUCAGCGCCCUGUCAAAACAGACCACUUGGCUCUACCAAUCAGCAGGAUGUGGGUGGGGCCAGAUAAGAGAAUAAAAGCAGGCUGCCCCAGGCAGCAGUGGCAACCCGCUCGGGUUCCUUUCCGCAUUGUGGAAGCUUUGUUCUUUUGUUCUUUGCAAUAAAUCUUACUACUGCUUACUCUUUGGGUCCACACUGCUUUUAUGAGCUGUAAUACUCACCCCGAAGGUCUGCAGCUUCACUCCUGAAGCUAGGGAGACCAGGAGCCCACCAGGAGGAACGAGCAACUCCAGACGCGCCGCCUUAAGAGCUGUAACACUCACCACGAAGGUCUGCAGCUUCACUCCUGAGCCAGCGAGAUCACGAACCCACCAGAAGGAAGAAACUCCGAACACAUCUGAACAUCAGAAGGAACAAACUCUGGACACGCCACCUUUAAGAACUGUAACACUCACCGCGAGGGUCCGCGGCUUCAUUCUUGAAGUCAGUGAGACCAAGAACCCACCAAUUCCGGACACACUGGGAUUACAGGCGUGAGCCACCGCACCCGGCUUUUUUUUGGGGGGUGGUGGGGACGGAGUCUUGCUCUAUCGCCCAGGCUGGAGUGCAGUGGCACCAUCUGGGUUCACUGCAAUCUCUGCCUCCCAGAUUCAAGCGAUGCUCCUGCCUCAGCCUCCCGACUAGCUGGGACUAUAGGUAUAUGCCACCACACUGGGUUAAUUUUUGUAUUUUUGUAGAGACGGGGUUUCACCAUAUUGGCCAGGCUGGUCUCGAACUCCUGACCUCAUGAUCCGCCCUCCUCGGCCUCCCAAAGUGCUGGGAUUACAGGCGUGAGUCACCGUGCCCGGCCAGUUUAUAGGUUUAGAAACUGAAACUCUGGCUGUGGAGCUAGGAAGCAGCUUGCCCAGGAGGCAAAUGCAGGCCUGAUUCCAAGGCCCGGGCGCGGAGCUGCCAAGCUUUAUGGGUCCAGAGUCACUGGCAAGUCCUAAUAAUAGUAAUAAUUUACUGUAUGCCUCGCCUGCAUCAUUCUAAGUACCUUUCCGAUGCUGUCUCACAUACUUUUGUGGGAUGGGUAUCACUAUUGUCCUUGGGGUCCUCCCAAGGAGGUUAAGGCAUAAUGGGUGAAAAGUCUUGUCUAAGGUCCUCAGCUAGAAAGUGGUAGAAGCAGGACUUGAGCCCAGAUACAAAGUCCACACACAGGCUUCAACCACUCUGCCUUCCAGGAAGAGCUGGUAGUGUUUAAGAGUCUAGUCCAGAACACUGUCUCAACAGCAUCAUUAGAUCAGGGCUCCUAAUCCCUAGAACCCUGUGUAACACUGCAACCCUGGCCAGGCAUAGUGGUUCAAGCCUGUAAUUCCAGCACUUUUGGAGGCCAAGGUGAGAGGAUUGCUUGAGCCCAGGAGUUCGAGACCAGCCUAGGCAACAUAGUAAGAACCUAUCUUUACAAAAAACAAAAAAUUAGCCAGGCAUGGUGGUGAGCACCUGUAGUCCCAGCUCCUGGGGAGGCUGAGGCGGGAAGAUUAAUUGAGCCCGGGAGUUUGAGGCUGCAGUGAGCUAUGAUCACACCACUACACUCCAGCCUGGGUGACAGAGUGAGACCCUGUCUCCAAAUAUAUAAAUGCUCCCCUGCCUCCCUGUGGGGAUAGAUAGGGUAAGAGAACCCACUCAGAAAGAAAGGUUAAGAUGGCCUGGGUGGCUGUGGUACCCCAGGAGACUAAAAAAAGUUACGGUGAGAAAUGCUUGGACUGCAACUCUUGGUAAAAUCUGAUGCAAGUCAAGUGGGCAGAGAUUAUCCCUAUUUGAGACAAGUUUCAGAGAGGGGAAGUGACUUGACCAAUGUCACACGGCUGACAAACACUUAAAACUGAUGCUGGAACUGGAUCUUUUGCAUCUAAGCCAAGGGCUCUACUCACUGUUCCAAUCUACCACCAGUGCCCAAGCAUGGAGGGGACAGGGAUCUGGGCUGGUAAUAGGGACUUCCAGCCCAAGACAGGUGCAGUGAUGAUUCAGAGCCUCCUGAGAAUCAUCAAGUCUAGUAAAUUAUAAGUCGCAAUGACAAUUACAUCAGCUAAAGUUUAUGAUGCUUACUAUGUGCCAUUGUUCUAAGGCUCAAAAUGCAUUAACUUUUAAGCUGGGCGUGGUGGCUCAUGCCUAUAAUCCCAGCAUUUUGGGAGGCCGAGGCGGGUGGAUCAUUAAGGUCAGGAGUUUGAGACCAGCCUGGCCAACACGGUGAAACCCUGUCUCUACUGUGGCCGGGUGCAGUGGCUCACGCCUGUAAUCCUAGCAGUUUGGGAGGCCAAGGCGGGCAGAUCACUUGAGGUCAGGAGUUCGAAACCAGCCUGGUCAACAUGGUGAAAGACCGUCUCUACUAAAAAUACAAAAAAAUUAGCUGGGUGUGGUGGCUGGCGCCUGUAAUCCCAGCUACUUGGGAGGCUGAGGCAGAAUUGCUUGAACCUGGGAGGUAGAGGUUGCAGUGAGCCCAGAUCAUGCCACUGCACUCCCACCUGGGCAACAGAGUGAAAUUCCAUCUCAAAAAAAAAAAAAAAAAAAAAAAAAAAAAAGGCCAGGUGUGGUGGUGCAUGCCUGUAAUCCCAGCUAUUCAGGUAGCCAAGGUACGAGAAUUGCUUGAACCAAGGAGGUGGAGGUUGGAGGUUGCAGUGAGCUGAGACUGCCCCACUGAACUCCAGCCUAGGUAACAGAGACUGUCUCAAAAAAAAAAAAAAAAGCAUUAACUUUUAAUCUUCACAUACCCUAUGGUCCCCAGUAUACAGAUGAGGAAACGAAAGAGCUCAGAGUUCUGGGAAACACGCUCAAAAUCACGUCAGUAAGCUUUUCUGGUUCCCCAGGAGGAUGCUUACCAAAGCUUAGACAUGCUGGUGUGACACAGUCAAAUUGUAAAAACAGAAAGACACACACGUGGCCUUGCCUGGCAAUAAAUAUUUUAAUUUGUUUCAUUUUUAUGAUG